UCUCUUGUCGCUGUUUAUGUGCUAGCCAGCGGCUAGUGGCUAACUUCGCGUCUGCUGUUCUAUAGGUUGUGAUUCCAACUUGGCGUCUCUUACUUGGCUAGAGUGAUCUCUUGCUUCUCCACUGGCAAGGACUUCGGUGGACAAUACCAACGGUUACCUUGCGCUUUUCCCGUCUCCUGCACGCCGGUAUGUAUUAUAGUGGGUUAGCUUGUGCCUUUACCCAUCUCUGACUGUUUGUUUUCUUACCAUGGUUGCUAACGACGGCCAUUAUUAUGGUUUCAGCGUGUGGUCGCUACCGGCGCCUCGGCCGUGUACCUCUGUAUUGGCACUCCGACUGUGAGAAUCGCGCAUCGGUGCACCCUCAUCUCCGGGUUGUAUCCGUGUGGCCGUGGUCAGACACACCACGCGUUUAGGUGCACGAGCGGCGACUUUUAGCCCCGGUUGUGUGGUGCCUCUGGAAGCCGGGAACCCGUAUCUCGGCUGCUGCUCCGGCCUCGGGAAACCGGACAUUCGUGUGUGUGUGUGCGUUGGCGCGCUUUAGUUCAGUGUGUGUGUGUGUGUGUGUGUGUGUGUGUGUGUGUGUGUGGGCGCUCGGCUUGGUGUGAGCUGGUGUGUGAGCCAUUCCACAGUGUGUGUGCGUGUGCGUAAGUUGGUACGUGUGAGUGUGUGUGUAGGUACCUAGGGGACUGCACUGAGCUGAGCCUCUGGGGUUUGGUUUACCUCCUGUUUUGAUUUUCGUUUUCUUUCGUUUGCUGUGCCUAAUUUCCUUUUUUUUUCAUUAUUUCAUUCAAUUAUCUAAUUUCUUAUUUUACUGCAUGUGUUUACUGGAUUUUGAUUUAUUUUGCAUGGUUUGCUGUGAUUUCUUGUUGUUUUCUGUUUGCCGUGGAUUAUUUCUGUUUGCCGUGGAUUAUUUCUGUUUGUUGUGAACUAUUGCUUUACUUUUUCUUUUGUUAAUCCUGAGGUGUGCCAUUCGCCCUAUUGUGUUAGCCGUGCCAGCCCCUAGUGACAAAGUCUGACAACCUGAGUGUAGGUUCUAAGGCCUUAGGCCUACCAGGUGUGUUGCUUAUUGUGAAUUAAGGAACAUACUUUGGGGCAGGUGUUUACAGAUCCGCGGGUGUGGUGGCAGCACACCCACCCCUGCACUUUACUGUUAACGUGAACAUACUUUGGGGCAAGUGUUUAUCUAUCUGCGGGUGAUUGCGACAGCACACCCACCCCACUGCACUUUGUGAAUUGUGAGUACCUUUUUAUAUUUAUUGCAAAGAGUGAGAAAAAUAUA